rnacentral:sRNA from 1 species
UAAGUGUGUAAUGGCGUCUAUGCGCCUCC